rnacentral:rRNA from 1 species
AGAAUCAACGCUGGCGGCGUGCCUAACACAUGCAAGUCGAACGAGAAAGGGUAGCAAUACCUGAGUAAAGUGGCGCACGGGUGAGUAACACGUGACUAACCUACCCUGGAGUGGGGGAUAACUGAGGGAAACCUUAGCUAAUACCGCAUAACACCUACGGGUCAAAGGAGCAAUUCGCUUUGGGAGGGGGUCGCGGCCGAUUAGUUAGUUGGCGGGGUAAUGGCCCACCAAGACGAUGAUCGGUAUCC